UUGAACGCUGGCGGCAGGCCUAACACAUGCAAGUCGAACGGUAACAGGAAACAGCUUGCUGUUUCGCUGACGAGUGGCGGACGGGUGAGUAAUGUCUGGGAAACUGCCUGAUGGAGGGGGAUAACUACUGGAAACGGUAGCUAAUACCGCAUAACGUCGCAAGACCAAAGAGGGGGACCUUCGGGCCUCUUGCCAUCGGAUGUGCCCAGAUGGGAUUAGCUUGUUGGUGGGGUAACGGCUCACCAAGGCGACGAUCCCUAGCUGGUCUGAGAGGAUGACCAGCCACACUGGAACUGAGACACGGUCCAGACUCCUACGGGAGGCAGCAGUGGGGAAUAUUGCACAAUGGGCGCAAGCCUGAUGCAGCCAUGCCGCGUGUAUGAAGAAGGCCUUCGGGUUGUAAAGUACUUUCAGCGGGGAGGAAGGGAGUAAAGUUAAUACCUUUGCUCAUUGACGUUACCCGCAGAAGAAGCACCGGCUAACUCCGUGCCAGCAGCCGCGGUAAUACGGAGGGUGCAAGCGUUAAUCGGAAUUACUGGGCGUAAAGCGCACGCAGGCGGUUUGUUAAGUCAGAUGUGAAAUCCCCGGGCUCAACCUGGGAACUGCAUCUGAUACUGGCAAGCUUGAGUCUCGUAGAGGGGGGUAGAAUUCCAGGUGUAGCGGUGAAAUGCGUAGAGAUCUGGAGGAAUACCGGUGGCGAAGGCGGCCCCCUGGACGAAGACUGACGCUCAGGUGCGAAAGCGUGGGGAGCAAACAGGAUUAGAUACCCUGGUAGUCCACGCCGUAAACGAUGUCGACUUGGAGGUUGUGCCCUUGAGGCGUGGCUUCCGGAGCUAACGCGUUAAGUCGACCGCCUGGGGAGUACGGCCGCAAGGUUAAAACUCAAAUGAAUUGACGGGGGCCCGCACAAGCGGUGGAGCAUGUGGUUUAAUUCGAUGCAACGCGAAGAACCUUACCUGGUCUUGACAUCCACGGAAGUUUUCAGAGAUGAGAAUGUGCCUUCGGGAACCGUGAGACAGGUGCUGCAUGGCUGUCGUCAGCUCGUGUUGUGAAAUGUUGGGUUAAGUCCCGCAACGAGCGCAACCCUUAUCCUUUGUUGCCAGCGGUCCGGCCGGGAACUCAAAGGAGACUGCCAGUGAUAAACUGGAGGAAGGUGGGGAUGACGUCAAGUCAUCAUGGCCCUUACGACCAGGGCUACACACGUGCUACAAUGGCGCAUACAAAGAGAAGCGACCUCGCGAGAGCAAGCGGACCUCAUAAAGUGCGUCGUAGUCCGGAUUGGAGUCUGCAACUCGACUCCAUGAAGUCGGAAUCGCUAGUAAUCGUGGACCAGAAUGCCACGGUGAAUACGUUCCCGGGCCUUGUACACACCGCCCGUCACACCAUGGGAGUGGGUUGCAAAAGAAGUAGGUAGCUUAACCUUCGGGAGGGCGCUUACCACUUUGUGAUUCAUGACUGGGGUG
rnacentral:rRNA from 1 species